AAAUUGACACAUUCCCAUAUUACUUCAUACUCUCGCUCUCUCAACCGUCAAUCAUCUUCUCUACUGAAUAUCCAUGAGUCAGUGGUGCUACCUUGAAAACAGGAACAUGGAAAUGGAAGUUAAUCUUAUUAGAGACAUCAUUCCAUGACAAAUCCUCUAUGAAAAUGGGAAGCAUCAUUCACGGAAACAUGAAAGCUGCACUUUAGUUCUUUUUCUUUAUUAAUUUAUUUUUCCAUCAUGUCUAUAGUAAACCUUGUUGGGACAUGUAGUGUGAAUUUGUAAAUUUAUAUAGGUCAAAAUUCUCUUGUUCGAUGUGAAUUUGAAUAUGUAUUGUCUACAUUAGUUAUAUAAAUAGAGAAAAUUUGAAUAUGUA